rnacentral:rRNA from 2 species
GGGUUGUGAGGUUAAGCGACUAAGCGUACACGGUGGAUGCCCUGGCAGUCAGAGGCGAUGAAGGACGUGCUAAUCUGCGAUAAGCGUCGGUGAGGUGAUAUGAACCGUUAUAACCGGCGAUUUCCGAAUGGGGAAACCCAGUGUGUUUCGACACACUAUCAUUAACUGAAUCCAUAGGUUAAUGAGGCGAACCGGGGGAACUGAAACAUCUAAGUACCCCGAGGAAAAGAAAUCAACCGAGAUUCCCCCAGUAGCGGCGAGCGAACGGGGAGGAGCCCAGAGCCUGAAUCAGUGUGUGUGUUAGUGGAAGCGUCUGGAAAGGCGUGCGAUACAGGGUGACAGCCCCGUACACAAAAAUGCACAUAUUGUGAGCUCGAUGAGUAGGGCGGGACACGUGGUAUCCUGUCUGAAUAUGGGGGGACCAUCCUCCAAGGCUAAAUACUCCUGACUGACCGAUAGUGAACCAGUACCGUGAGGGAAAGGCGAAAAGAACCCCGGCGAGGGGAGUGAAAAAGAACCUGAAACCGUGUACGUACAAGCAGUGGGAGCCUCUUAAUGGGGUGACUGCGUACCUUUUGUAUAAUGGGUCAGCGACUUAUAUUCUGUAGCAAGGUUAACCGAAUAGGGGAGCCGAAGGGAAACCGAGUCUUAACUGGGCGUUAAGUUGCAGGGUAUAGACCCGAAACCCGGUGAUCUAGCCAUGGGCAGGUUGAAGGUUGGGUAACACUAACUGGAGGACCGAACCGACUAAUGUUGAAAAAUUAGCGGAUGACUUGUGGCUGGGGGUGAAAGGCCAAUCAAACCGGGAGAUAGCUGGUUCUCCCCGAAAGCUAUUUAGGUAGCGCCUCGUGAAUUCAUCUCCGGGGGUAGAGCACUGUUUCGGCAAGGGGGUCAUCCCGACUUACCAACCCGAUGCAAACUGCGA